CCUACGGGAGGCAGCAGUGAGGAAUAUUGGUCAAUGGGCGGGAGCCUGAACCAGCCAAGCCGCGUGAGGGAAGAAGGUACAGCGUAUCGUAAACCUCUUUUGUCAGGGAACAAAGGCGGGGACUAGUCCCCGGAUGAGGGUACCUGAAGAAAAAGCAUCGGCUAACUCCGUGCCAGCAGCCGCGGUAAUACGGAGGAUGCGAGCGUUAUCCGGAUUUAUUGGGUUUAAAGGGUGCGCAGGCGGCCUGUUACGUCAGCGGGAAAAGCCCGGGGCUCAACCCCGGCGAGCCGUUGAAACUGGCGGGCUGGAGUUGGAGAGAAGUACGCGGAAUGCGCGGUGUAGCGGUGAAAUGCUUAGAUAUCGCGCAGAACCCCGAUUGCGAAGGCAGCGUACCGGCUCCACACUGACGCUGAGGCACGAAAGCGUGGGUAUCGAACAGGAUUAGAUACCCCAGUAGUC
rnacentral:rRNA from 1 species